rnacentral:piRNA from 1 species
UGCCAACACAAUGGUGAUACCUUACUGUGC